UACGAAGGUGGCUAGCGUUACUCGGAAUCACUGGGCAUAAAGGGCGUGUAGGCGGACGCGUAAGUCCGGUGUAAAAUCCCCCGGCUCAACCGGGGAAGGCCAUUGGAUACUGCGUGUCUUGAGUGCGGGAGGGGAGAAUGGAACUCUUGGUGGAGCGGUGAAAUGCGUAGAUAUCAAGAGGAACGCCGGUGGCGAAAGCGGUUCUCUGGCCCGUAACUGACGCUGAGGCGCGAAAGCUAGGGGAGCAAACGGG
rnacentral:rRNA from 1 species